UGCCUAACAUCGUUUUACUCCUCUGUCUC
rnacentral:piRNA from 1 species